rnacentral:rRNA from 1 species
UGAGGAAUAUUGCGCAAUGGGCGAAAGCCUGACGCAGCAACGCCGCGUGGAGGAUGAAGGCCUUCGGGUCGUAAACUCCUUUUCUGGGAGAAGAGACAAGGACGGUAUCCCAGGAAUAAGUCUCGGCUAACUACGUGCCAGCAGCCGCGGUAAUACGUAGGAGGCUAGCGUUAUCCGGAUUUAUUGGGCGUAAAGCGCACGCAGGCGGUCGCGUAAGUCGGACGUGAAAGCUCUCGGCUCAACCGAGAGA